rnacentral:misc_RNA from 1 species
GAUGAAGAACGUAGCGAAAUGCGAUACGUAAUGUGAAUUGCAGAAUUCCGUGAAUCAUCGAAUCUUUGAACGCACAUUGCGCCCCCUGGCAUUCCGGGGGGCAUGCCUGUCCGAGCGUCAUUUCUGCCCUCCAGCCCGGCUGGGUGUUGGGCGCUGUCCCCCCGGGGACACGCCCCAAAGGCAGUGGCGGCGCCGCGUCGGGUCCUCGAGCGUAUGGGGCUUUGUCACCCGCUCGGGACGGACUCGUCGGCGCUGGUCUUCCUCCAGGCGACCCUUCGGGGCUCGUCUUCCUUCGGUUGACCUCGGAUCAGGUAGGGUUACCCGCUGAACUUAAGCAUAUCAAUAAGCGGAGGA